rnacentral:rRNA from 1 species
AGUGAACGCUGGCGGUAGGCCUAACACAUGCAAGUCGAACGGCAGCACAGUAAGAGCUUGCUCUUACGGGUGGCGAGUGGCGGACGGGUGAGGAAUACAUCGGAAUCUACUUUUUCGUGGGGGAUAACGUAGGGAAACUUACGCUAAUACCGCAUACGACCUACGGGUGAAAGCAGGGGAUCUUCGGACCUUGCGCGAUUGAAUGAGCCGAUGUCGGAUUAGCUAGUUGGCGGGGUAAAGGCCCACCAAGGCGACGAUCCGUAGCUGGUCUGAGAGGAUGAACAGGCACACUUGAACUUGAGCACCGUCCAGACUCCUACGGGAGGGAACAGUGGGGAAAAAUUGGCAAAUGGGGGCAACCUUGUCCAACCAAACCGCGGUGGGUAAAGAAGCCUUCGGGGUGGUAAAGCCUUUUUGUUGGGAAAAAAAGCAACAGGGUUAAUCCCCGCUGGCCUUGCCGGACCCAAAAGAUAAGCACCGGCUAACUUCGGG